CCUACGGGUGGCAGCAGUGGGGAAUAUUGGGCAAUGGGCGAAAGCCUGACCCAGCAACGCCGCGUGAAGGAAGAAGGCUUUCGGGUUGUAAACUUCUUUUGACAGGGAAGAGCAGCAGACGGUACCUGUCGAAUACGCCACGGCUAACUACGUGCAAGCAGCCGCGGUAAUACGGAGGAUGCGAGCGUUAUCCGGAUUUAUUGGGUUUAAAGGGUGCGUAGGCGGAAUGCCAAGUCAGCGGUAAAAUCGCGGGGCUCAACCUCGCUCCGCCGUUGAAACUGGCGUUCUUGAGUGGGCGAGAAGAAUGCGGAAUGCGUGGUGUAGCGGUGAAAUGCAUAGAUAUCACGCAGAACUCCGAUUGCGAAGGCAGCAUAUCGGCGCUCAACUGACGCUCAUGCACGAAAGUGUGGGUAUCGAACAGGAUUAGAUACCCCUGUAGUC
rnacentral:rRNA from 1 species